UGAGUGCGAGCGGCUACGGCCGCGAAGUGGGUGAUGUCAAGCUUCCAAGAAAAGCCCUAUACCCGUUAAGGCAUGAUGGCCUGUACCCGAAACCGACACAGGUGGGGUGGUAGAGAAUACCGAGGGGCGCGAGGUAACUCUCUCUAAGGAACUCGGCAAAAUGGCCCCGUAACUUCGGGAGAAGGGGUGCCACCGCAAGGUGGUCGCAGUGAAGAGGCCCAGGCGACUGUUUACCAAAAACACAGGUCUCCGCUAAGUCGCAAGACGAUGUAUGGGGGCUGACGCCUGCCCAGUGCCGGAAGGUUAAGGAAGCUGGUCAGCGCAAGCGAAGCUAGCGACUGAAGCCCCGGUGAACGGCGGCCGUAACAAUAACGGUCCUAAGGUAGCGGAAUUCCUUGUCGGGUAAGUUCCGACCCGCACGAAAGGCGUAACGAUCUGGGCGCUGUCUCGGAGAGAGGCUCGGCGAAAUAGAAUUGUCUGUGAAGAUGCGGACUACGUGCACCCGGACAGAAAGACCCUAUGAAGCUUUACUGUAGCUUGGUAUUGUGCCCGGGCUCUGAAUGCGCAGGAUAGGUGGGAGGCUUUGAUCCAUGGCUUGCGGGUCAUGGUGAGCCAACGGUGAGAUACCACUCUUUCAGAGCUAGGGUUCUAACGGUCACCCGUCAUCCGGGGACCGGACAGUAUCAGGUGGGCAGUUUGACUGGGGCGGUCGCCUCCUAAAAGGUAACGGAGGCGCGCAAAGGUUUGCUCAGGCUGGUUGGAAAUCAGCCGACGAGUGCAAAAGCAGAAGCAAGCUUGACUGUGAGACCUACAAGUCGAACAGGGACGAAAGUCGGCUUUAGUGAUCCGACGGUUCUGAGUGGAAGGGCCGUCGCUCAACGGAUAAAAGUUACUCUAGGAUAACAGGCUGAUCUCCCCCAAGAGUUCACAUCGACGGGGAGGUUUGGCACCUCGAUGUCGGCUCAUCGCAACCUGGGGCUGAAGUCGGUCCCAAGGGUUGGGCUGUUCGCCCACUAAAGCGGUACGCGAGCUGGGUUCAGAACGUCGUGAGACAGUUCGGUCCAUAUCCGGUGCACGCGCAGGAACAUUGAGAGGAUUUCUCCCUAGUACGAGAGGACCGGGAGGAACGCACCUCUGGUGUGCCAGUUAUCGUGCCAACGGUAAACGCUGGGUAGCCAUGUGCGGAGUGGAUAACCGCUGAAAGCAUCUAAGUGGGAAGCCCACCUCAAGAUGAGUGUUCCCAUGGCAUAAGCCAGUAAGGUCACGGGAAGAACACCCGUUGAUAGGCUCUACGUGGAAGCCGGGUAACCGGUGAAGCGGAGGAGUACUAAUAGACCGAGGGCUUGAUC
rnacentral:rRNA from 1 species